UAAGCCGCUUCUGUGGUUCCAGCCUUCCCGUGCCCUUUCCGCUUUUGCACUCCUUUUCGCCACGUCUACGGCAUCGGACCUAUGGUCCCCAAUCCGCAAGUGCCAAAACACCAUAGGCAGAAAAUCUGAAGCUUCAUAAAAAAUUCCAAACUCUCCGUUAACUAUCCGAAAUCACCCAGAGGCCCUCGGGACUCAACCAAAGAUAAAACAUUACCUAAUGCCUUAUUUAAACUUGUACCAAUUUUUAAAACACUUCAAACAACAUCUAAUCAACCAGAACACAACGAAUUCAAGCCUAAGUUUCU
rnacentral:lncRNA from 1 species